UCCCUGAUGGUUCAGAUGGUAAAGUGUCUGCCUGCCUUGCAGAAGACCCAGGUUUGAUCCCUGGGUUGGGAA
rnacentral:tRNA from 1 species